GCCUAUGGUGAGCUGGCAAGGGGCUUCUCAUGAAGCACCGGGAACUGUAUGCACCGGUACGCCAACCUUGUUCAGCUCGCCACCAUG
rnacentral:antisense_RNA from 1 species